GACAGAGGGUGCAAACGUUGUUCGGAAUUACUGGGCGUAAAGGGCGCGUAGGCGGCCUUGUAAGUCCCGUGUGAAAGCCCCCGGCUCAACUGGGGAAUUGCACGGGAGACUGCGGGGCUUGAGUUCGGGAGAGGGAAGCGGAAUUCCGGGUGUAGCGGUGAAAUGCGUAGAUAUCCGGAGGAACACCAGUGGCGAAGGCGGCUUCCUGGACCGACACUGACGCUGAGGCGCGAAAGCUAGGGGAGCAAACGGG
rnacentral:rRNA from 1 species